rnacentral:rRNA from 1 species
GAUCCUGGCUCAGGAUGAACGCUGGCGGCGUGCUUAACACAUGCAAGUCGAACGGGAAAUAUUUCAUUGAGACUUCGGUGGAUUUGAUCUAUUUCUAGUGGCGGACGGGUGAGUAACGCGUGGGUAACCUGCCUUAUACAGGGGGGUAACGAGUCAGAAAAUAGGCGUGCUAAUAACCGCAUAAGCGCACAGAGCUGCAUGGCUCAGUGUGAAAAACUACCGGUGGUAUAAGAUGGACCCGCCG